UUUUGGGAGUAGUAUUCUUUCUGCUGUUGUUGUGUUCCCAAGGGUGAGGCAGCGGGGAAAGCUGAUGUCCCUUGGAGAGCUUUGCCCCCGUACGGCCUGGCAGGUGAGUGCUGCUUGGGCACGAGUUGCUGGGGCUUGCUGCCCCUCUGCUUUUCUGGUUCAGUUCCUCCAUUAAGGAGUUCCCUGCCACAGAAGUGGCUGUUUGGGCCAGUUCCAGCUUUUGUCACUCCGGCUGGCUUGAGUUUCAAAAAGAAAACCCACGACACAACCCCCACACAAGUGUCUACCCUGGCUUGCCCUCCGUUCCCUUAGCUUGCUGGUGCCACAGGGUGGCUCCUUGCAGCACUUGUAUUUCUACUGCUUUUAGCUUUCCAGCUGAAAUCAUUAAGGUUUUUCGCUCUGAUAUGAGUCUGCUGCUUCCUGGAACUAACCAAAAUCCACGUGCUCUCGAUGUUUCAGCGUGCUGUGCUCUGCUCUGAAAAAGGGAUUUCUUCUGAAAAAGGAAUACUGUUUUCUUUUAGCAUAUGGCACACGGUUAUUGUCUGUGCCCUUUUGGCCACUGCACCCCCUCAGUCUCCUGUGCUUCCACUGCUGCCUAAUUUUUGAGAAGCUUUGAGUAAAACUUUCACUUGUGAAAGAAAAAGAAACCAUUUGGUUUUCUCGCUUCACUUGGCUGCAACAAUGUUCAGAGAUUAAUAAAACGUGAGUGUGUGUCAGGGUUGUGGGAUUUCAGAGCCAAUUCCCACCAAUCAUGGGACAAAGCAUGAUGCCUUAGCUUGUCUGAGGCCAUGAAAUGGCAUCCCGAAUACCAAGCUCGGAAGACAGCUACUCCAAGCACAAGCUUGAGCUUCUGGUGCAGUUUCACAUCUCUCCUUGCACAAAAAGAAUUAAAAGAAAGGCUGCGAGAUGAAAAGUUGCUGAGGUUUGGGUACAUCUGUACAGAACUUCCUUGGGAGCUGUAAGCUCCUUCAUCAAAGCCAAAAAGCCCUUUGGAAGAAGCCAGCUGGAGGGUAUGGCACGAGCACAAGUACUUUCUGGUGGAACUGAAGCAGGGUUUGGACCGAGCAGGUGAGGAAGCAGAUGUACUUAACAGAGCUUUCCUCAAGCCGGGUGGGUUGCUCUGAGCUCUCUGUGCAUAGCCCUCAGCAUUAUCA
rnacentral:lncRNA from 1 species